AACGUAGGGGGCAAUCGUUGUCCGGAAUUAUUGGGCGUAAAGCGCGCGCAGGCGGUCUCUUAAGUCUGAUGUGAAAGCCCACGGCUCAACCGUGGAGGGUCAUUGGAAACUGGGAGACUUGAGUGUAGGAGAGGAAAGUGGAAUUCCACGUGUAGCGGUGAAAUGCGUAGAGAUGUGGAGGAACGCCAGUGGCGAAGGCGACUUUCUGGCCUAUAACUGACGCUGAGGCGCGAAAGCGUGGGGAGAAAACAGG
rnacentral:rRNA from 1 species